rnacentral:rRNA from 1 species
UACGUAGGGUGCGAGCGUUGCCCGGAUUUAUUGGGCGUAAAGGGCGCGUAGGCGGCUCGGCACGUCCGUUGUGAAAUCGCCCGGCUCAACUGGGCGGGUCGGCGGAUACGCCGAGCUGGAGCAAGCUAGGGGUAAUGGAAUUCCCGGUGUAGUGGUGGAAUGCGUAGAUAUCGGGAGGAACACCAGUGGCGAAGGCGGUUACCUGGAGCUUGCUGACGCUGAUGACGC